CUGACUCCCAACACCUCCUACCUUGGUACCCCAUUGCUUCCACCAGCUUCUUGGUAAAGAAGCCAGCUCCUACUUUACUGAUCACGACACACCCAAAGAGGUGAGAAGACUUUCCCUUUGUCACAGAGAUAAUAGAGUUGAUAUUCCUUCAAAAUGGACUUUCUUUCAUGUGCUACGUUUUGAUUUCUGAGAUACAACGAAACCGAAGAGAUAGAAAGUCCCUUCUUUAAAGCUUGUUGUUGUGCAAGGAGAAAGGAAUUGCCUUGCCUACCUUGCCUAACCACCUGAGUUCCAUCACAAAAGGAAAUAACACCCACUAAAGGGUUAAUUUCUAAAACCUGACUGCUCCUUGUGAAGCUGACAGAGAGGAAGGCCGCUUCCCUGGUCUAAUUACCCACUGAAAGCCCGGGUGGGAGUUGAGUCUCGGCAGGAGACUCUAGCCCUACCUGCCUGAAUAGUUAGGCUGCAACGUGCCUGUGCCUCGUUUUUAAUCCUGUACACAGCCCUUUCUUCUGUUCGUUGUUAUUUUCCUUCCUCACCUCUGGACACUUCGGCACAUUCACUUGAAACAUCGUCACAGGAGAACUCGGCUUUGACAGAAACCUCUCUGAAAUGUUUUUUUUUUUUUUUCCCCCCUGUUCUGGCUUGCACUUGAAUAAUUCUCCAUCAACAGCACGUCUGAUUGAGUUGGCAUCACAAACCCUUUUGUAUGCUAUUUUUUUCCUUCAAGAAAUAUUAAAGUCUGAAUAAAAUUGGAAUAGCUG